rnacentral:rRNA from 1 species
AGCGAACGCUGGCGGCAGGCCUAACACAUGCAAGUCGAACGAAGUCUUCGGACUCAGUGGCGGACGGGUGAGUAACACGUGGGAACGUGCCUUUAGGUUCGGAAUAACUCAGGGAAACUUGUGCUAAUACCGAAUGUGCCCUUCGGGGGAAAGAUUUAUCGCCUUUAGAGCUGCCCGCGUCUGAUUAGCUAGUUGGUGAGGUAAAGGCUCACCAAGGCGACGAUCAGUAGCUGGUCUGAGAGGAUGAUCAGCCACAUUGGGACUGAGACACGGCCCAAACUCCUACGGGAGGCAGCAGUGGGGAAUCUUGCGCAAUGGGCGAAAGCCUGACGCAGCCAUGCCGCGUGAAUGAUGAAGGUCUUAGGAUUGUAAAAUUCUUUCACCGGGGACGAUAAUGACGGUACCCGGAGAAGAAGCCCCGGCUAACUUCGUGCCAGCCGCCGCCGUAA